UUUCAGUUUUUGAGAUCUCUAAAACUAAUGCAGAGAAGUGUAAUGUCUAUUACUAUCGUUAUAAAAAUGUAUCUAAAGGAAAGUAUCCAUCACAAACAAACAUGAAACGUUGUAAGGCAUAUAGGCUGCGAAAAAAAUGUUUUGUUACGCUAAAGAAGUAUAACUUCUAAUGAGCGUACAUAAGUACACACACCAGUUUUUCUUACAGAAAUCAUUUCAUCACUAAUGACAGGAAUAGAUGCAGUAUUAUUGUUUCCAAUCUAAAACACAGCUUUACUGCAUAUUUCUACUUUUCUGCUCAACUAUGAUACAAAUAUUAAAAGAGUCAAAUUGUUUCAUCGUAA
rnacentral:lncRNA from 1 species